GGGUAAGUCCUGUACGACCAGCUCCUGUUUAAUCCCCCAGGGUGGGAACACAGCAAGGGUAGAUGGUUGAGCGGUGCGAUAUAGGUAGCUUACCCGCU
rnacentral:SRP_RNA from 1 species